rnacentral:rRNA from 1 species
GAUGAACGCUGGCGGCGUGCCUAAUACAUGCAAGUCGAGCGAACAGACGAGGAGCUUACUCCUCUGACGUUAGCGGCGGACGGGUGAGUAACACGUGGAUAACCUACCUAUAAGACUGGGAUAACUUCGGGAAACCGGAGCUAAUACCGGAUAACAUGUUGAACCGCAUGGUUCAACAGUGAAAGACGGUCUUGCUGUCUCUUAUAGAUGGAUCCGCGUCGCAUUAGCUAGUUGGUAAGGUAACGGCUUACCAAGGCAACGAUGCGUAGCCGACCUGAGAGGGUGAUCGGCCACACUGGAACUGAGACACGGUCCAGACUCCUACGGGAGGCAGCAGUAGGGAAUCUUCCGCAAUGGGCGAAAGCCUGACGGAGCAACGCCGCGUGAGUGAAGAAGGUCUUCGGAUCGUAAAACUCUGUUAUUAGGGAAGAACAAAUGUGUAAGUAACUAUGCACGUCUUGACGGUACCUAAUCAGAAAGCCACGGCUAACUACGUG